UACAGAGGGUGCGAGCGUUGUUCGGAAUUAUUGGGCGUAAAGCGCAUGUAGGCGGAUGAGUAAGUCGCGUGUGAAAUCUCCGGGCUCAACUCGGAAAGUGCGCGCGAAACUGUUCAUCUUGAGUGCUGGAGAGGGUGGCGGAAUUCCCGGUGUAGAGGUGAAAUUCGUAGAUAUCGGGAGGAACACCAGAGGCGAAGGCGGCCACCUGGACAGACACUGACGCUGAGACGCGAAAGCGUGGGGAGCAAACAGG
rnacentral:rRNA from 1 species